rnacentral:lncRNA from 1 species
UAUUCGAGGAGUUUUCACAUGCUGAACUUCUUUUGCGUUAUGGCUGGCCACAUCCUAUUGGGGCCAGUUGGUUUACCCUUGAGCAUCACUUCUACCUUGUUGGGAAGUGGGCUGGGAUAUCCUUCGCACGAGUGAGGUGUGGUCCAUUGGAAUGGACAAAGCCUCAGAGCUGUUGCGAAGGACAUCCACAUAGAUUCUAAAGCUUUUGAUUAUGCUAGCUUCUUUCUUCUGGCUAAACUAUGGUCUGUUUGCAUUAAAGAAUGGACACCACCUCCCGUUCCAUGAAGCAGAGUGAUGGCCAGGUGUGCAUGGUGAUUUGUUGGAGUGGCA